rnacentral:tRNA from 1 species
GGUUGUAGCUCAGUGGUAGAGUGUUUGCCUAGCAUGUGUGAGACCCUGGAUUCGAUCUUCAGCACCA